AUACCUGUGGAGCUGGAAAAUUUAUUUCUAUAGGAAAAGGUACUUUUUCGUCUCUCUUAUUUGAAGACUUCAACCAAAUGGAACCUACUCUGCCAUUUUCUUGUUCACACAUUCCUUCCUCCUCUUCCCGCGAAUCAAGCAAAUUCAAUUGGAAGAAAAUAGAAGAAUCUAAAGAAGCAGAUCUCAAAUCUCAACAACCGGCAUCCAGUCUCAAGCAAUUUUGUGAAGUUUAUCACACCAAACCGCCUAAAAAAAUAUCCAACAUACGGCAGGUUUUUUUUCUGGUUGAAAAGCAUGC
rnacentral:lncRNA from 1 species